GCUCGCUGUGUGCCUAAUACAUGCAUGUUGAACGGGAUGUAGCAAUACAUUCAGUAGCGAAUGGGUGAGUAACACGUACCUAACCUACCUUUAAGACUGGGAUAACUAUUGGAAACAAUAGCUAAUACCGGAUAUAGUUAUUUAUCGCAUGAUGAGUAAUAGAAAGGAGCUUCACAGCUUCACUUAAAAAUGGGGGUGCGGAACAUUAGUUAGUUGGUAGGGUAAUGGCCUACCAAGACGAUGAUGUUUAGCUGGGCCGAGAGGCUGUACGGCCACACUGGGACUGAGAUACGGCCCAGACUCCUACGGGAGGCAGCAGUAAGGAAUUUUCCACAAUGAGCGAAGUUUGAUGGAGCGACACAGCGUGCAGGAUGAAGUUCUUCGGAAUGUAAACUGCUGUUAUAAGGGAAGGAAAA
rnacentral:rRNA from 1 species